rnacentral:rRNA from 1 species
AACGAACGCUGGCGGCAUGCCUACCACAUGCAAGUCGAACGAGACCUUCGGGUCUAGUGGCGCACGGGUGCGUAACGCGUGGGAACCUGCCCUUAGGUUCGGAAUAACUCCCCGAAAGGGCUGCUAAUACCGGAUAAUGUCUUCGGACCAAAGAUUUAUCGCCUUUGGAUGGGCCCGCGUUGGAUUAGCUAGUUGGUGGGGUAAAGGCCUACCAAGGCGACGAUCCAUAGCUGGUCUUAGAGGAUGAUCAGCCACACUGGGACUGAGACACGGCCCAGACUCCUACGGGAGGCAGCAGUGGGAAUAUUGGACAAUGGGCGAAGCCUGAUCCAGCAAUGCCGCGUGAGUGAUGAAGGCCUUAGGGUUGUAAAGCUCUUUUACCCGGGAUGAUAAUGACAGUACCGGGAGAAUAAGCUCCGGCUAACUCCGUGCCAGCAGCCGCGGUAAUACGGAGGGAGCUAGCGUUGUUCGGAAAUACUGGGCGUAAAGCGCACGUAGGCGGCGCAGCAAGUCA